rnacentral:rRNA from 1 species
CCUACGGGAGGCAGCAGUGAGGAAUAUUGGUCAAUGGACGAGAGUCUGAACCAGCUAAGUAGCGUGAAGGAUGACUGCCCUCGGGGUUGUAACCUUCUUUUAUAAAAGAAUAAAACGAGGCACGUGUGCCUUUUUGCGUGUACUGUAUGAAUAAGGAUCGGCUAACUCAGUGCCAGCAGCCGCGGUAAUACGGAGGAUCCGAGCGUUAUCCGGAUGUAUUGGGUUUAAAGGGAGCGUAGAUGGGUUGUUAAGUCAGUUGUGAAAGUUUGCGGCUCAACCGUAAAAUUGCAAUUGUUACUGGCAGUCUUGAGUACAGUUGAGGGAGGCGGAAUUCGUGGUGUAGCGGUGAAAUGCUUAGAUAUCACGAAGAACCCCGAUUGCGAAGGCAGCUUACUAAACUGUGACUGACAUUGAUGCUCGAAAGUGUGGGUAUCAAACAGGAUUAGAUACCCCUGUAGUC